rnacentral:tRNA from 1 species
GCCUGUGUGGUGAAAUUGGUAGACACGCCAUCUUGAGGGGUGGUAUCCUUAAGGAUGUGCUGGUUCGAGUCCAGUCGCAGGCA